UACGUAGGGUGCAAGCGUUGUCCGGAAUUAUUGGGCGUAAAGAGCUCGUAGGCGGUUUGUCGCGUCGAAUGUGAAAACCCGGGGCUCAACCCCGGGCCUGCAUUCGAUACGGGCAGACUAGAGGCAGGUAGGGGAGAAUGGAAUUCCCGGUGUAGCGGUGAAAUGCGCAGAUAUCGGGAGGAACACCGGUGGCGAAGGCGGUUCUCUGGGCCUGACCUGACGCUGAGGAGCGAAAGCGUGGGGAGCGAACAGG
rnacentral:rRNA from 1 species